rnacentral:rRNA from 1 species
UACGUAGGGUGCGAGCGUUGUCCGGAAUUACUGGGCGUAAAGAGCUCGUAGGUGGUUUGUCGCGUUGUUCGUGAAAACCGGGGGCUUAACCCUCGGCGUGCGGGCGAUACGGGCAGACUGGAGUACUGCAGGGGAGACUGGGAAUUCCUGGCGUAGCGGUGGAAUGCGCAGAUAUCAGGAAGAACACCCGUGGCGAAGGCGGCUCUCUGGGACGGUACUGACGCUGAGACGCGAAAGCGUGGGGAGCGAACAGG